rnacentral:rRNA from 1 species
CCCUUAGAUGUCCUGGGCCGCACGCGCGCUACACUGAUGCAUUCAACGAGUUUUACCUUGGCCGAGAGGCCUGGGCAAUCUUUUAAACCUGCAUCGUGAUAGGGAUAGAUUAUUGCAAUUAUUAAUCUUGAACGAGGAAUUCCUAGUAAACGCAGAUCAUCAAUCUGCAUUGAUUACGUCCCUGCCCUUUGUACACACCGCCCGUCGCACCUACCGAUUGAAUGGUCCGGUGAAGCCUCGGGAUUGUGGCCAGUUCACUUUAUUGGGAGUUGGCUGCGAGAACUUGUCUAAACCUUAUCAUUUAGAGGAAGGUGAANUCGUAACA